AGCCCAGAGCCUGAAUCAGUGUGUGUGUUAGUGGAAGCGUCUGGAAAGGCGCGCGAUACAGGGUGACAGCCCCGUACACAAAAAUGCACAUGCUGUGAGCUCGAUGAGUAGGGCGGGACACGUGGUAUCCUGUCUGAAUAUGGGGGGACCAUCCUCCAAGGCUAAAUACUCCUGACUGACCGAUAGUGAACCAGUACCGUGAGGGAAAGGCGAAAAGAACCCCGGCGAGGGGAGUGAAAAAGAACCUGAAACCGUGUACGUACAAGCAGUGGGAGCACAGAGCAAUCUGUGUGACUGCGUACCUUUUGUAUAAUGGGUCAGCGACUUAUAUUCUGUAGCAAGGUUAACCGAAUAGGGGAGCCGAAGGGAAACCGAGUCUUAACUGGGCGUUAAGUUGCAGGGUAUAGACCCGAAACCCGGUGAUCUAGCCAUGGGCAGGUUGAAGGUUGGGUAACACUAACUGGAGGACCGAACCGACUAAUGUUGAAAAAUUAGCGGAUGACUUGUGGCUGGGGGUGAAAGGCCAAUCAAACCGGGAGAUAGCUGGUUCUCCCCGAAAGCUAUUUAGGUAGCGCCUCGUGAAUUCAUCUCCGGGGGUAGAGCACUGUUUCGGCAAGGGGGUCAUCCCGACUUACCAACCCGAUGCAAACUGCGAAUACCGGAGAAUGUUAUCACGGGAGACACACGGCGGGUGCUAACGUCCGUCGUGAAGAGGGAAACAACCCAGACCGCCAGCUAAGGUCCCAAAGUCAUGGUUAAGUGGGAAACGAUGUGGGAAGGCCCAGACAGCCAGGAUGUUGGCUUAGAAGCAGCCAUCAUUUAAAGAAAGCGUAAUAGCUCACUGGUCGAGUCGGCCUGCGCGGAAGAUGUAACGGGGCUAAACCAUGCACCGAAGCUGCGGCAGCGACACUAUGUGUUGUUGGGUAGGGGAGCGUUCUGUAAGCCUGUGAAGGUGUGCUGUGAGGCAUGCUGGAGGUAUCAGAAGUGCGAAUGCUGACAUAAGUAACGAUAAAGCGGGUGAAAAGCCCGCUCGCCGGAAGACCAAGGGUUCCUGUCCAACGUUAAUCGGGGCAGGGUGAGUCGACCCCUAAGGCGAGGCCGAAAGGCGUAGUCGAUGGGAAACAGGUUAAUAUUCCUGUACUUGGUGUUACUGCGAAGGGGGGACGGAGAAGGCUAUGUUGGCCGGGCGACGGUUGUCCCGGUUUAAGCGUGUAGGCUGGUUUUCCAGGCAAAUCCGGAAAAUCAAGGCUGAGGCGUGAUGACGAGGCACUACGGUGCUGAAGCAACAAAUGCCCUGCUUCCAGGAAAAGCCUCUAAGCAUCAGGUAACAUCAAAUCGUACCCCAAACCGACACAGGUGGUCAGGUAGAGAAUACCAAGGCGCUUGAGAGAACUCGGGUGAAGGAACUAGGCAAAAUGGUGCCGUAACUUCGGGAGAAGGCACGCUGAUAUGUAGGUGAAGCGACUUGCUCGUGGAGCUGAAAUCAGUCGAAGAUACCAGCUGGCUGCAACUGUUUAUUAAAAACACAGCACUGUGCAAACACGAAAGUGGACGUAUACGGUGUGACGCCUGCCCGGUGCCGGAAGGUUAAUUGAUGGGGUCAGCGCAAGCGAAGCUCUUGAUCGAAGCCCCGGUAAACGGCGGCCGUAACUAUAACGGUCCUAAGGUAGCGAAAUUCCUUGUCGGGUAAGUUCCGACCUGCACGAAUGGCGUAAUGAUGGCCAGGCUGUCUCCACCCGAGACUCAGUGAAAUUGAACUCGCUGUGAAGAUGCAGUGUACCCGCGGCAAGACGGAAAGACCCCGUGAACCUUUACUAUAGCUUGACACUGAACAUUGAGCCUUGAUGUGUAGGAUAGGUGGGAGGCUUGGAAGUGUGGACGCCAGUCUGCAUGGAGCCGACCUUGAAAUACCACCCUUUAAUGUUUGAUGUUCUAACGUUGACCCGUAAUCCGGGUUGCGGACAGUGUCUGGUGGGUAGUUUGACUGGGGCGGUCUCCUCCUAAAGAGUAACGGAGGAGCACGAAGGUUGGCUAAUCCUGGUCGGACAUCAGGAGGUUAGUGCAAUGGCAUAAGCCAGCUUGACUGCGAGCGUGACGGCGCGAGCAGGUGCGAAAGCAGGUCAUAGUGAUCCGGUGGUUCUGAAUGGAAGGGCCAUCGCUCAACGGAUAAAAGGUACUCCGGGGAUAACAGGCUGAUACCGCCCAAGAGUUCAUAUCGACGGCGGUGUUUGGCACCUCGAUGUCGGCUCAUCACAUCCUGGGGCUGAAGUAGGUCCCAAGGGUAUGGCUGUUCGCCAUUUAAAGUGGUACGCGAGCUGGGUUUAGAACGUCGUGAGACAGUUCGGUCCCUAUCUGCCGUGGGCGCUGGAGAACUGAGGGGGGCUGCUCCUAGUACGAGAGGACCGGAGUGGACGCAUCACUGGUGUUCGGGUUGUCAUGCCAAUGGCACUGCCCGGUAGCUAAAUGCGGAAGAGAUAAGUGCUGAAAGCAUCUAAGCACGAAACUUGCCCCGAGAUGAGUUCUCCCUGACUCCUUGAGAGUCCUGAAGGAACGUUGAAGACGACGACGUUGAUAGGCCGGGUGUGUAAGCGCAGCGAUGCGUUGAGCUAACCGGUACUAAUGAACCGUGAGGCUUAACCUUACAACGCCGAAGGUGUUU
rnacentral:rRNA from 1 species